rnacentral:lncRNA from 1 species
CCCUCUUUUUGCCAUCUUCCCCUACUCCUACUGAUACAAACUCUUUCCAGACAUCAGAUUUUAAGCGUUGGUUGGAAUCAAAGAUAGUUUGAUCCCGUUGAAUCUCACUUUCUAGUAGUACUUGAGGUUCUUCGACAGCCGAAUCAAAGAUAGUUUGAUUCGGUUGACUCUCACUUUGUACUAGUACUUGAGUUUCUUCAUCAACCUCCUCUUUUAUUUCCAUACGUUCAUUCUCAGCAUUAAGUGUUGCN